UACGGAGGGGGCUAGCGUUGUUCGGAAUUACUGGGCGUAAAGCGCGCGUAGGCGGAUCUGCAAGUCGGGGGUGAAAUCCCGAGGCUCAACCUCGGAACUGCCUUCGAUACUGCGGGUCUCGAGUCCGGGAGAGGUGAGUGGAAUUCCUGGUGUAGAGGUGAAAUUCGUAGAUAUUAGGAAGAACACCAGUGGCGAAGGCGGCUCACUGGCCCGGUACUGACGCUGAGGCGCGAAAGCGUGGGGAGCAAACAGG
rnacentral:rRNA from 1 species